rnacentral:lncRNA from 1 species
ACCCGCAGAACCGCUCCCAACCCCCCUGCUCGCCCCUGCCCCCACCCCUGCUCCUCGAGGACAUGACCUUACUCUACCAUCUGCGGCCACUAUCCCCAACCGAUUACGAAAAUCAGUGAUGCACCUACGUACUACAUCGGUGUACUCGAAAGGAUGCAAGCUAGGAAUCGACAAAGUAAACUACACACAGGGUGCUUAGAUAUAAAACGUAAAAGGGUGUAUAGAGUAAAAAGGAGGUGGGGAGGUACCAACUCCCGAUGGAAAAACCUGGAAGUAUGCUUUGAUUCACCCGAGAUCAAAUACCGCUAUCUUUUGCACACUUCGUCCGGUGUUGCUUUGCUCUUCGCAUCCAAAUGCCGUAAGCUCUUCUUGUCCGCAGCUUGUACCUGAAAGGAGGUCGGGAGGUACCAACUCCCGAUGGAAAA